UGUGGAGUAGGGGAGGCAGCAUCAUCAAAACUGCCUAUCUGAGCAUGCAGUCCCUGUGGCUUGGAGACCCCGCCCCCUCUGGACAGAGGGAGAGGUUGUGGUCAGAAGCCUUGAAUGCCAGGAGGGCUCUUCCUUCCUCUGUCCACCUUCUCCCCACACACACAGUGUUCUGGUGACUGUCUUGGAAGGAUCGUCACCCUUCAGCUUUGCACAGAGUCACAGACGGUUGCUGAUGACCUGGGAGCUGUGGACAACCUGAGCAUGGUGCCCUCCAUGACUGAAGCUGCUCCUAUGAGGGCUUAGGAGACAUACAGGAUUCUAUCAAGGAUCCAUGCUGCCAUCAGUGACUUUGCUCCUCUGAUUCCUUCCACCCUGAAAAUGCUUUUCCUCCAUUUCUACACACUGUAACUCUCAAUCAAGGAUCUCAAGGAACCCCUCCCACCGAAUAUGGAAUCUCUGCGAAUCUUCCCUGCAUCAUGAGCAUAACUGCUCCAAGUCCGGCAUCCCAGAUGUCUUCCUCUUGCUAGACGUGUCCUCCCCCUGCAGCUGUAUGUGACACACCCAGAGGGGAUUCCUCAGCAUCACCCAGAGGUUGAAGCCUCUGUCAGGAACCAUUCUGUGCUACCUUUCAUUCCCACCCCCAUGCCCCCUCUCCACUCUUCUCCCUGCCCCUGCUCCAGGAGGAAGGAUGUUGUGUCUAUGACAUUCACAAACCCCUGUUUUCCAACAUCUAGUUGGGUUCAACCAACAAAGAGCUAUGGCAGAAAAUUUGCAGGAACCAAAAGAGUGAGGCUCCCUUCCUGGGGAGUCUCCCUGGACUGGCUCUGCUCUUUGAGAAAAAUGUUUGUGAGUUUAAUGUGAAACCCUGAAUGGUUUUAGAAAGAUAAGUGUGCUAGUUGAAGGCUGGUCAGGAAAAGGAUGGUCAACUCUAAUUAGAAUAAGAAAGGGACAAUUCAAUAAACGGACUAUUAUAGUGAAAGCGAACUAAAUGUGGCCUGAGAAGGACUCCCUACUUCUGUAUUUGAGUCCCUGUGGACUAACCACAACCUAACUUAGUAGGUAGAUGAGAUUGAAAACCUAAUUUAGGAGUAUGUACCUGUAACAAUAGCUGAGUCUCAGCCAAUCCAAGCAGCCAUACUUCAACCACUCAUACACUGCUGAGUGUUCAAACUGUGUUCAAAUAAAGC
rnacentral:lncRNA from 10 species